rnacentral:rRNA from 1 species
GGCUCAGAUUGAACGCUGGCGGCAUGCCUUACACAUGCAAGUCGAACGGCAGCGGACCUUCGGGUGCCGGCGAGUGGCGAACGGGUGAGUAAUAUAUCGGAACGUACCUUCAGUGGGGGAUAACGUAGCGAAAGUUACGCUAAUACCGCAUAUUCUGUGAGCAGGAAAGCAGGGGAUCGCAAGACCUUGCGCUGAUUGAGCGGCCGAUAUCAGAUUAGCUAGUUGGUGAGGUAAAGGCUCACCAAGGCGACGAUCUGUAGCGGGUCUGAGAGGAUGAUCCGCCACACUGGAACUGAGACACGGUCCAGACUCCUACGGGAGGCAGCAGUGGGGAAUUUUGGACAAUGGGCGCAAGCCUGAUCCAGCCAUGCCGCGUGAGUGAAGAAGGCCUUCGGGUUGUAAAGCUCUUUCGGCCGGGAAGAAAUCGCACAGGUUAAUACCCUGUGUGGAUGACGGUACCGGAAUAAGAAGCACCGGCUAACUACGUG